rnacentral:rRNA from 1 species
CCUACGGGGGGCAGCAGUGGGGAAUAUUGGACAAUGGGGGCAACCCUGAUCCAGCCAUGCCGCGUGUGUGAAGAAAGCCCUCGGGUUGUAAAGCACUUUCAGUGAGGAAGAACGCCUGGUGGUUAAUACCCAUCAGGAAAGACAUCACUCACAGAAGAAGCACCGGCUAACUCCGUGCCAGCAGCCGCGGUAAUACGGAGGGUGCGAGCGUUAAUCGGAAUUACUGGGCGUAAAGCGCGCGUAGGUGGCUUGAUAAGCCGGUUGUGAAAGCCCCGGGCUCAACCUGGGAACGGCAUCCGGAACUGUCAAGCUAGAGUGCAGGAGAGGAAGGUAGAAUUCCCGGUGUAGCGGUGAAAUGCGUAGAGAUCGGGAGGAAUACCAGUGGCGAAGGCGGCUUUCUGGACUGACACUGACACUGAGGUGCGAAAGCGUGGGUAGCAAACAGGAUUAGAUACCCGAGUAGUC